rfam:Ipomoea nil DNA, scaffold: scaffold2036, cultivar: Tokyo-kokei standard.
GGGUCCAUAGCUCAAUGGUAGAGCAUUUGAUUGCAGAUCAAGAGGUCACCAGGUUGGGCCCU